CAGUCGCCGCGGGAAUACAGAGGGUGCGAGCGUUAAUCGGAUUUACUGGGCGUAAAGCGUGCGUAGGCGGCUUCUUAAGUCGGAUGUGAAAUCCCUGAGCUUAACUUAGGAAUUGCAUUCGAUACUGGGAAGCUAGAGUAUGGGAGAGGAUGGUAGAAUUCCAGGUGUAGCGGUGAAAUGCGUAGAGAUCUGGAGGAAUACCGAUGGCGAAGGCAGCCAUCUGGCCUAAUACUGACGCUGAGGUACGAAAGCAUGGGGAGCAAACAGGAUUAGAUACCCCUGUAGUCCCUGUCUCUUACAC
rnacentral:rRNA from 1 species